GGGUAUAAAACAUUCCCCGCGAUAAUCUUCAACGUGCGUGAGCGCAGCAAACACGAAAAAACUGUAGUACGAGAGUCAAAACAAACCAAAAAACAAAACUUUCAACAACGGAUCUCUUGGUUCUCGCAUCGAUGAAGAGCGCAGCGAAAUGCGAUACCUAGUGUGAAUUGCAGCCAUCGUGAAUCAUCGAGUUCUUGAACGCACAUUGCGCCCUCUGGUAUUCCGGAGGGCAUGCCUGUUUGAGCGUCGUUUCCUUCUUGCUUGCGAGCAGAAAUGGGGGGGCCCUGGCAUUGGGGCCGCUCUGAAAAGAAACGUUGCGGGCGAAGCGAACUAUGAGUAGGACGCUUGGCCGCCGAACUUAAUACAUAAGCUCGACCUCAAAUCAGGUAGGAAUACCCGCUGAACUUAAGAAUAUA
rnacentral:rRNA from 1 species